rnacentral:tRNA from 1 species
GCCCGGAUGGUCUAGCGGUAUGAUUCUCGCUUAGGGUUCAACCCUGAGUUAAAAUGCGAGAGGUCCCCGGUUCAAUCCCGGGUUCGGGCC